GAAGCUUCCGCUCAGAGACUUCAGGAUGCAUGAAGUUGAGGAGGGGGAGGUGUUGGUUACCCUCUCAGACCACGGCUGGACAGCCAUCAGCUCUCUCACUUAGGCGUCUGUACAGGAGCCAGCCAAUGAGGGCGCCUGGGUGGCUCAGUCGGUUAAGCCUUUCAAUAUCCGCCUCCUGCCAGCAGGCAGAAUCCGUUCACCAUACCUCCCCCAAAGGAGCAACCCGGUAGGAUGACUGAUUGGCUGUUUUAGCCAUCGAAUUGGCUUGACCAGGUGUACCUAGACUGAGUGCUACACCCCAUAAAUCCCUCCACCAAGCAAACGGGGACAGGAGGUCACCCUGCUCAUAGGAGAGACUGAAACGGAAACGUUGGAAGGAAUCAGCACAUUUACCCUAUGCUAAGUGGAUUGGAAGACACACCUGACAGUGCCCCAAUCCCAGGACCCUCAGGUUAGAUGAAGACAGGUCUGCGGACGAGAGCUUCUUCACCAGACAUUCCAACAAAGCACAGAUUAUUAGAAGACAUCAGAUACCGCCCCCCCCCGCCCACCCCCCGUGUUUAAAUUCCAGGGAUUGAAGAGCUGACUUUCACUUUCUAGAAAUACCAACAUU